CUGUCAUGGUCCCCGUGCCUCGCUGGCUGACCCCGCGCUAGGUGACAUGUUUUGUUUUGUUUUCUGCGCUCUCUCGCUCUCUCUCCUCUGCCGGGCGGUGCUCAUUAUGGGCUUCUGCCCCUGGCCCACACACCUGUGUUCAAUCACCACACCUGCUGCUGAUCCCCAGCAACCCUGAGUCAUACUUAAGACGGUGAUCCUACGCUACUCAUCACUGGAUCGUUGAGCAAUCUGUAUCUUUCCUGGACCUGUCCCUGCAAACCUGAAAACCCCACGAACGAGUGUGUGGAAGCGUGAGAGGCUGCAGAGUAGAGUGGAGGACUUCUUUUCCCCCACGGACCCUGGAGCCCUGGACACCCCCCUGCACAUUGUUUAUACAUUCACUUGGUGUUUCCACUGUAAAUACAUGCACUGUUUCUUCUGCAAAGGAUCCCUGAUCUUCGCUUGAGUCCGUUUAAGAACUCUGACAAACACGUCUAUGCAAAAGCCUCAAUUAAUCAUACACUUUUGAGUAGGCACAGAAUUUGGUGAACUCUUUCAAUAUAAGUGUGUGUGUGUGUGUGUGUGUGCGUGCAUAUACACACAUGUGUAAACAUUUCUCCACUUCAUGAACCCCUAAAAUGUUGCAAUAAGACAUAGACCUGCACUUCAUCAGCCUUGUGUUGUACUGUUAUACUAUUUUUGACCAUAUGAGAGAUGAUUGCUGAUGAAUCAUUAGCGGGAAUAUUUUAUAUGCCAGAGAACAGCUCAUUAAAUGACAAUACAUAACAACAACCAAAUGCUGUUCCAACUAAAGCAUUUAAUGGAACCACAAUUGUAAAGCCAGUUCUACAGCUCAAAGUACAUUUAAUACUAGUACCACCGUAGGAAUACAAAGGGAGCCAAAGGUAGUUCAAAACAACAGAUUGAUAGAUGAAUCACAUUUAGCCAGGGAAUUGAACAUUGAACAGAUUAUUAGGGAAUCUUUCGUCAGUAACAACGGCAGGGGAUUUACAGUGUAUUUUUUAAGCUUCUGACAGGCAUAAAGACUGACGUAAAGAAAAAAAACAAAAUAAAAUGAAGCCUGAAAAACACAGGCCUGCCACUAAAAAGAAUAGACAGACUUAAUCCACUUGUAGACAACUGAAGACACAAGCCAGGAAGUCAGAGACAGAAUCAUCACAGAGAUAGCGCAGAAUGGACAAACAGAGUGCAUCACGGGCAGUAAAACAGCAUUUGUUGUCAUGUCCAUAACUUAGACUCCCCUGAGGUUUUUCCUCUGAAAUGACAAUCGGACAUUGUAGUUCUCGUCUCUGGUGUCAGAGGAGAAAAAAAAAAUCCAUCCCCCUUCCCGCCUCUUCUCAGAUCCCUCUCUAAAUCUCAUCUGGUUUCAUCAUAAAAAACGACAGGCUGUCUUGGUAAAGCAAAAGGUUUAUAUCAGGAAGAGGCCGGGGUGGGACAAAAGCAAAGGCAUGACAAAGAGGGCCAACAUUUACUCUUGCUUUCUGCCAAGAGUAAAUGUAACCAAAGCCAGUUGCUCACAAACUAAUGGAGAAAAUUUACACAUGGAGGUAAAUAUAUAGUUUUGAAGUCUAAGGAGCUUGGAAAGAAAAGCGUCUGGACUACUUUAAGUUUCUUGAACAAGAAACUUAAAGAUGACCUGGAUGACUGAGAACCUUCACAGACAAUAUAGUUUUGAAGAAUCAAAAUGUGUUUCUCAAGUUACUGUUUAUUGUUUUGUUUAGAGCGAGAAGUAAGUUUGACAAUGAUACACCUAGACCUGGAGAGUAUUCUUAGCAGCAACACACUGCAAAUUUUCAAAGUCGUCAGUCAAGUGACAACUUCAUGGAGGUAAAUACAGAUGGUUUGAAACAAGGUGCAAACCUCUGGUUACUGUCAUGGUACGUGUGGACUGUUGGGUAUUUUCCUGUAUGGCUCCUUUUGCACCGGUGUCCGCCUCUGGGCCCAUUCAUUUACCUGGACAGCUCACCUGAAACUAAUGCGUGACAAUCAUCAAAGGGUAUUUAUGACCAGCAUCUCUGUCUUUUCACUGCUAGUUUGUCAACUUACCCAUGUUGGUAACAGGUUCACUCUUCUUGCUCUGUAGCUCAGUCUCGUGUGUACUUACCUUGAUUUCCAUGUGCUACAGCUUCAUCACACCACUACUCCACGAUAUAACGGAACUCUCCUUUUGGACACUGGCCACAGCCCUCACCUGAUCUACGCCACGCUUCAAUCUCCAGGAAGAAAAUCCUCACCACACUCACCUGCCUGCUCUCCUGCCACCACAGCUCACAGGGAGCCCUGGAAUUCAGGUCCGCUCAUCUUCUUUGCGCGUAACUCGUCACUCGGACCGAGCUUAGUUCUCCACCUGCAAAAUGAGACCUCUUGCUCCCCAUGCAACCAGCCACACCCUGAGCUUGCCACCCUUAGCCCGUCACGCUAGCUUAUCUUGUCACGAAUCCCCUGCCAAGUAUAACUCUGUGUUUUUGUGCCAAAUAAAAGUUUGUGUGAAUUUAACUCAACCAUCUCUGCACGUGGUUCAGCACUUGAGUCCAGUUUUGUACAGGCCUUUGGCCUCAAGUGACAGUUACACUCAAGAACAGAUCAUACUUUGCCAGAAAACAAAAAAGCCUGCUUACUUCUAAAAAAAAAAAGAAUGAAUAAAU